UGGGGAAUUUUCCGCAAUGGGCGAAAGCCUGACGGAGCAAUCUCGCGUGAGGGAUGACGGCCUAUGGGUUGUAAACCUCUUUUUUCAGGGAGGAAUAAAAUGACGUGUACCUGAAGAAUAAGCAUCGGCUAACUCCGUGCCAGCAGCCGCGGUAAGACGGAGGAUGCAAGUGUUAUCCGGAAUCACUGGGCGUAAAGCGUCUGUAGGUGGUUUAGUAAGUCAACUGUUAAAUCUUGAAGCUCAACUUCAAAAUCGCAGUCGAAACUAUUAGACUAGAGUAUAGUAGGGGUAAAGGGAAUUUCCAGUGGAGCGGUGAAAUGCGUAGAGAUUGGAAAGAACACCGAUGGCGAAGGCACUUUACUGGGCUAUUACUGACACUCAGAGACGAAAGCUAGGGUAGCAAAUGGGAUUAGAUACCCCCGUAGUCC
rnacentral:rRNA from 1 species